rnacentral:lncRNA from 1 species
AUCGUUUGACAAUUAAUCUAGAAGUGCUGGAAUGCUAUAUCAGCUGUAAAAACUUUUGAGAUUAUAAAUGAUCAUAUUUUGAGAUUAUUUUUUUGUUUAUUUGAAUCUCAAGAGGGAAAUCAAAAGAUUUUGCUAUGAUAAGUAACCAUUUCACUCAUAAGAAGUAAUUUACUUAGAAGUUCCCUGUUACAUUGAAAACAAGAGGAAUAUAGGAAAUCUACGAAUAAUUUUAUCACAUUCUUUUCCAUAUGAAACGAAAGGUCUUUACUAUUUGUUGAAUUUCUCAUUGUCUGUUGUCUACAAGUUAAAUCAGAGGUUCCUACUUGCUUCUGUAAACCAGCCUGUAACCUAAAAGGUAUUUGAUUUGAAGGAGGAAAAGACCACUCGAAAGAAGAUACUGAAAAUGGAACAUCCUUGUUCAGAUGUUCCAACUUGCCCCUGGAUAGUAGCCAAUAGUCUGAAAAUAGAUAGUCGACCAUAGAAAACUGACUGGUUGUAUAUGGGUGGAAAUCUACUUGACCAUGCAAAAAGUUGACAAAUGUCCUGGUAAUGAGAAAAAAAAACUAAAGAUAUUUAGCAAAUGUGUUUUACUAAGCACUAUUGUGUGAUGUAUUAGAAACUCCUGAAAUAGCAUCAUACAUCUGUGAUUGAAAUCAAUUAACCAAAGUAAUGAUGAAUCAACUGGGAAAAGUAUUCAUCCUGAAACUGAUUCAACUAAACAUAGGUAGCUGAAGUACUGAACAAGGAUGGACGAUGGUCCUGAAGGAAACCAUACAAAACUUUUGGCAAUUUACAGGUUGAUAGCUUCUUAUGAAUUACUAUAUGUUGACAUUUAUUUAAAAAAACAGCAACAGACUGCCUAUUAUGGAGAUUAAUGAAAAAUUUUCUGUUGCAAAAGUGUCUAAAUCUAGAAAUCUUUGUUUUCUGGAUGUCUAUGCAAGUUCAAUGCUUUUUUAAUCUGACAUUGUGGAAGAAACUACUGCUGCUGAUGAAUAGUGCCAUUGAAUAUAGUCGCAUCAUUGAUUAGUUAGUUAACCUCCACCGGAACUGUUAUCUUGUUGACUUCCAUUGAUUCUAUUUGCCGAAAUAGUAGAUCUGGUGGGAUUAAGAGGAAAACGACAAUGUUGGAGAUCUCGUAUUCCAGAAAAUAUUAUAAAUUCGGGUCUCUGAAAAGUACAGCUAGUGAGCACCUUCCCAUUGAAUUUCGUGUAUCAAACAGUUGGAAGUUACCAGAUUUUUUUAAUCGUUCUGUAGUCAGAAGUAUGAGAGCCCGAAAAGAGUGGCAACCCUGUUUCGUACAGAGAACAAGGAAUUAAGGUGUUCCAGUUUGAAAUUGUGAAAGUUUAUUGUCUUGUUGGAUGCCUAUGUUUCAAACCAAAUGUAUCUGCUUGACAAGUGAAUAUUAUACUGAACCCUUCAGUUGAUGUUCUACUGCCCAACAUGCAUGGGAAGUAUUAGUUUCUCAGUUUAACCAAAUGAUUGCUCAGUUGUUGUUUGCAACUGAGGCUUUUUUUUUUUUACCCUUUAGGAAAUGCUUACAAGAUGUGUUAUCGACCGUAUAUCUUAUACAAUAAGAAGAUUUGCAAUUACUGUGGCCUGGCGAAAGUAAUUGGGAAGUAUGCUCCAUAAAGAACUUAUGUCAUGAAGGUUUUUUUGUACGACGUCCAGUAUUAGCUGUUCACAAAAUAGAUUGAUUCCAACAAGAUGGCUAUUGCAAAACGGGAUUUUUUUUUCUUUUAAAUGGAGAGUUCUAGCUAUCUUGGAAAGACUAUCAAAGAAGCCAUUAUGCAGCAUUCGUGCUAUGCUUUGUUCAACGCAUUUGGAAACGAAUUUUGUGAUGACUAAUACAACAAUUAACAAGAGUUCAUAGGGUCGUAAUGAAGCUCGGAAAUGAUUUUAAUGGAUCUUUGGGGCCAAAAUAAUGGAUAGGAGUUGGAGGGACGACCGAAAAUAUCCUUGUAUUUAUUAUUUUCUCUAUUUGUUGUGGUACUGUGGCAGACAUAUUGGAGUUCAUUUGUGGGGUUCCCUAGUUUUCUGUGGCCCUAUUUCCCGUGAUAACACUUGUGAUAAUAAGCCCGUAGCGGGUUAUGGCAACACUAUGAUCAGCACGAGAAGGUUGGGAGUGCGCUGUCUAGAAGGUGAGUGUGGGUCGUUAACUAUGAGAUUAUUGGAGGGCUACGGUGUAACCCGAAAACACAACGGGUAAUCAACCCGUCGAUUAGGUUAAUGGAGGGUUAUGGAGCUAUUCGAAAACAUAACAGGUAAUAUACCCGUCGGGGCAAUUGAGUUGGUGUAACCGUAUGUCUUGCUGGGCUACUAUGUUGUUUGUAAAUGUCUGAUAAACUGCAAUAAAAUAAUUUCAAAAGA